UUCCUAAGUGUUGAGUUCAGUUCAGGGCAGCAUAUCUGUUCCACUUUGAGAUGUCGAAAUGGGCUGGGGAGAUGACUGAAUAGAAAGUAUUACUCUAUCAUUUACUUUCCAACCUACAAAA
ensembl:snoRNA